UUGCUGUAAGAUAAAUGUCUUGGCCCCAGUCUUUCUGUGGUCGUCGUGUAAGGCUGAAUGCAGUAUCCUCACACACAACCACAGGAAGUUUGGUGUCUCAAGUCAUAGCAUCAUCAUGGU
rnacentral:precursor_RNA from 8 species